ensembl:snoRNA
AUGCAUUUAUUUGACGGACCUGGAGCAGUUACUGUCUGUUGCUAACGUUUCCAAAUGCAGGAAAGAAGUGUCCUCUUGCAUUCUGUCUGCCUGAUUGUGGCAACCAAGAUUUAAUGGGGGGAACACAGGA